UUCCUUGAGGAGUGGCUUCCGGAGCUAACGCGUUAAGUCGACCGCCUGGGGAGUACGGCCGCAAGGUUAAAACUCAAAUGAAUUGACGGGGGCCCGCACAAGCGGUGGAGCAUGUGGUUUAAUUCGAUGCAACGCGAAGAACCUUACCUACUCUUGACAUCCACGGAAUUUGGCAGAGAUGCCUUAGUGCCUUCGGGAACCGUGAGACAGGUGCUGCAUGGCUGUCGUCAGCUCGUGUUGUGAAAUGUUGGGUUAAGUCCCGCAACGAGCGCAACCCUUAUCCUUUGUUGCCAGCGAUUCGGUCGGGAACUCAAAGGAGACUGCCGGUGAUAAACCGGAGGAAGGUGGGGAUGACGUCAAGUCAUCAUGGCCCUUACGAGUAGGGCUACACACGUGCUACAAUGGCGCAUACAAAGAGAAGCGACCUCGCGAGAGCAAGCGGACCUCACAAAGUGCGUCGUAGUCCGGAUCGGAGUCUGCAACUCGACUCCGUGAAGUCGGAAUCGCUAGUAAUCGUGGAUCAGAAUGCCACGGUGAAUACGUUCCCGGGCCUUGUACACACCGCCCGUCACACCAUGGGAGUGGGUUGCAAAAGAAGUAGGUNAGCUUAACCUUCGGGAGGGCGCUUACCACUUUGUGAUUCAUGACUGGGGUGAAGUCGUAACAAGGUAA
rnacentral:rRNA from 1 species